AAACCUCAUCAUCUCCAAUCUAAUCCAGCUCUACUCUAUGAGGGUUUGGGUGACAAAGGAAAAUUAUGAUAUGGUCCAAUAUUCAUGUGUUGUUGUCUACAUCUUUAGUGUGAUGACCAGUCUUGGUUUCAGGAUGUGCAUUGCUCUGGAGAGGUAUUUUGUUAUCGUCUGCCCACAGUUACCCUGCAUCAGACAAAUAAAAGGUUCUGUGUGGG